rnacentral:rRNA from 1 species
GGAGUCUGGGCCGUAUCUCAGUCCCAAUGGUGGCCGUUCAACCUCUCAGUCCGGCUACUGAUCGUCGCCCUUGGUAGGCCGUUACCCCACCAACUAGCUAAUCAGACGUGAGCCCAUCUAAUAGUGGAUUGCUCCUUUCCUCACUGUAUCAUGCGAUACCGUGAGCAUAUGCGGUAUUAGCAAUGAUUUCUCACUGUUAUUCCCCCUCUACUAGGCAGGUUGCUCACGCGUUACUCACCAGUCCGCCACUAAACGCCAUUGUAUAAAAACUUCAAUCCGAUAAAUCUUCAAUUCAUUUUCAUACGACUUCCGUUCGACUUGCAUGUCUUAUGUGCGCCGCCAGCGUUUAUC